rnacentral:rRNA from 1 species
UACAGAGGUCUCGAGCGUUAGGCGGAAUCACUGGGCUUAAAGCGUGUGUAGGUGGAUGCCUAAGUACCUUGUGAAAUCCCCGGGCUUAACCCGGGAACGGCUUGGUAUACUGGGUCUCUUGAGCCAACUAGGGGCGACCGGAACAAACGGUGGAGCGGUGAAAUGCGUAGAUAUCGUUUGGAACGCCAAUGGUGAAAACAGGUCGCUGGGGUUGUGCUGACGCUGAGACACGAAAGCCAGGGGAGCGAACGGG